AGUGAACGCUGGCGGUAGGCCUAACACAUGCAAGUCGAACGGCAGCACAGUAAGAGCUUGCUCUUACGGGUGGCGAGUGGCGGACGGGUGAGGAAUACAUCGGAAUCUACUUUUUCGUGGGGGAUAACGUAGGGAAACUUACGCUAAUACCGCAUACGACCUACGGGUGAAAGCAGGGGAUCUUCGGACCUUGCGCGAUUGAAUGAGCCGAUGUCGGAUUAGCUAGUUGGCGGGGUAAAGGCCCACCAAGGCGACGAUCCGUAGCUGGUCUGAGAGGAUGAUCGGCCACACGGGAACUGAGACACGGUCCAGACUCCUACGGGAGGCAGCAGUGGGGAAUAUUGGACAAUGGGCGCAAGCCUGAUCCAGCCAUACCGCGUGGGUGAAGAAGGCCUUCGGGUUGUAAAGCCCUUUUGCUGGGAAAGAAAAGCAGCAGGUUAAUACCCCGCUGUUCUGACGGUACCCAAAGAAUAAGCACCGGCUAACUUCGUG
rnacentral:rRNA from 1 species